GCCUCGCUAAACGAUGCACACCUGUAACUCACGUGACCCUGAUUAUUAUUGAAACGAGAACGAGGGCGUCGUGCCUUUAUAAGACUGCGUUAAUGGCGUUAAUGUUUCCGUGGAGUUAUCCCUUCCGUUGUUGUUUAUUGAUUGUUAAACAUGGCUUCAUUUGCAAAGGUGGUUGUGUGUGUCCUCAUUGCCUUUGUCUGUAAUGCAUUCUGUUUUACGAAGAGAGAUGUGAACUUUAAGGCCUCUGCAGUUGACCGCCAAAGUGAUGAUGUGGUUGUCACCACAACACCCAAUCCCCACAACCAGACCACAUCUGCCCAUACUGAAGCUGGUGGUGGUGCAAGUGAAGAUGCUGUGGCUACUACCCCAGCACCUAAUCCACACAACCAGACAACUUCUGCACAAACUGAAGUUACUGAUGGAGCCAGUGAAGAUGCUGAGGACCGCCAAAGUGAUGAUAUGGUUGUCACCACAACACCCAAUCCCCACAACCAGACCACAUCUGCCCAUACUGAAGCUGGUGAUGGAGCAAGUGAAGAUGCUGUGGCUACCACCCCAACACCAAAUCCCCCAACUACAUCUGACCACACUGCAGCUACCGAUGAUGCAAGUGAGGGUGCUGUGGCUGCCCAAACUGGAACUACUGUAUCCCAUACGACUGAAGUCUGAUUCGACUGCUCCUCUGGACACAAUGACCUGAGUCACUGUCUGGACUUUUUGCCUCUACAUGUUGACUGCAAUAAAGGACAGAUUUGUUGUUUUUAAUCAAAUGUUGUCUUGCCUUUUUCAAAUUGAGGCCUUGUCCUGUUUUGGUGGUGGAGAUGACUAUGAAGCCUCUUUCCUAACGUAUUUCCUGUAGUGGUUUUACUAUAUGCUUCAUGCAACAAGGCCUUCAACGACUCUACAAAUUGUGUCUGAAUUUGUAGAAUGGUUGAACUGGUAGUGAUGCACUAUAAUGGUGAACUGCUUGUGGCAUUUCAAAAAUCUCUACUGUACUGUUUGACAUGUACAUCUCAAGUGAAUUUGCGUGGUAAUUGGUAAACCGAUGUCCGUCCCUACUAAGGGAGUACUGGCCUUAGUAGGCUAACCCCCUGAAAGGCAUUCAAACAAUAACAGCCUAGUUGCGGCUGAGGGAACCUUGCCAUUGUGUUAACUGGUGUCUCUUGGCAAUACAGUUUACAAUGUUGUGCUGUGAAAGCUUUUCAUGCGUUUCAUGGGGUAUUUAGUCCCAGAGCAGCAGGGACCAAGUGCAUAGCCAGGAUGGGUAGUGGGACUCUCUCGUUCACAGGACCAUAUACAAUCAAAAUAGAAAUAUCAAAACUUGUCAAUCAAUGUAACGGCUAUAUAAAUGACAUACAGUGUAUGUACUUAACUUUUUAACACAG
ensembl:lncRNA